rnacentral:rRNA from 1 species
AGAUUGAACGCUGGCGGCAUGCCUUACACAUGCAAGUCGAACGGCAGCACGGGAGCAAUCCUGGUGGCGAGUGGCGAACGGGUGAGUAAUAUAUCGGAACGUGCCCAGUCGUGGGGGAUAACGCAGCGAAAGCUGUGCUAAUACCGCAUACGAUCUAUGGAUGAAAGCGGGGGAUCGCAAGACCUCGCGCGAUUGGAGCGGCCGAUAUCAGAUUAGCUAGUUGGUGGGGUAAAAGCCUACCAAGGCGACGAUCUGUAGCUGGUCUGAGAGGACGACCAGCCACACUGGAACUGAGACACGGUCCAGACUCCUACGGGAGCAGCAGUGGGGAAUUUUGGACAAGUGGGCGCAAGCCUGAUUCCAGCAAUGCCGCGUGCAGGAUUGAAGUCCGUUAGGUAGUAAACUGUCUUUAGUACCGGUAACGAAACGGUUCUCGUACUAAUACGAGGGACUAAGUGUACGUACCGUAAGAAUAACGACGACCGGACUAACCGUA